rnacentral:rRNA from 1 species
UACGUAGGUGGCAAGCGUUGUUCGGAAUUAUUGGGCGUAAAGGGUGUGUAGGCGGUUUGUUAAGUCUUGCGUGAAAUCUCGGGGCUCAACCCCGAGCGGUCGUGAGAAACUGGCAGGCUAGAGUGCGGGAGAGGAGAGUGGAAUUCCUGGUGUAGCGGUGAAAUGCGCAGAUAUCAGGAAGAACACCCGUGGCGAAGGCGGCUCUCUGGAACGCAACUGACGCUGAGACGCGAAAGCGUGGGGAGCAAACAGG